UACGUAGGGGGCAAGCGUUAUCCGGAUUUACUGGGUGUAAAGGGAGCGUAGACGGCUAAUCAAGUCAGAAGUGAAAACCCAGGGCUCAACUUUGGGACUGCUUUGGAAACUGCCAUGCUAGAGUGCUGGAGAGGUAAGUGGAAUUCCUAGUGUAGCGGUGAAAUGCUUAGAUAUCAUGAAGAACUCCGAUCGCGAAGGCAAGUGUCCGGGGUGCAACUGACGCUGAGGCACGAAAGCGUGGGUAUCGAACAGG
rnacentral:rRNA from 1 species